UACAUAGGGCAAAACCAAUAGUAUUUCUCAAAACUUGAUUGUAAAAGCAGAUGAAUCUCGGUGGUGCUCUCAAGGGGGCAAAGGGACGAGCGCUUGCUGCCUUACUUGAAUGGGAGUCUGCUUGGAUUGUUUGUGGUCAGAAAAUAAGGUGGAUAGCUGACCUAUGGCCUCUUGAUUUAUUACCGGAGAGCACAUGAGAAAUGGAGGAAAGGUUUUAUUACAGUGAACAGGAGUAACAAGCAAUAUUUUAUGGCAGGAUAACAGGGAUACCACCUGUGCAUCAGAAUGCAUCCUGACAAGUUCUCUGAGUUGUCUGAAUCGCUGUGAACAUAGUGUGCUGAAAUUUACAACACCAAAAAAUAGCAAUCCUUUCCCGUAGAGCAAUCCUAUGGUGGAUGAAUCCCAGUUAUCCUAAGGUCUGUGGGAUACCUGGAACUUUUGGGAAACUGGGGGAGUCAGGCCAGCAGGGUCCCCUGACCACAGAUGUCAAAGCCUGCUGGCAGCGUCUCAGAUGAUAGAGUUGUCUGGCUUCCUCAGCAGAAUUCCAGGGAAAGAACUAGACCUGAGAUCCAGCACUGAAGCUGACACCCUUCUGAAUCAUGCCAAGUCAGCUAUGCCAGUAAUCAAAGCUUCACACAUGUGAAAUCACCUUAUAAUGAAAAUCAGCUCAUGUCCCUAACUGUACUAGGGGCAUGGCCCUGUUUUGGAUAAGAGUUUCCUUUAUGGUCAGUGAAGUUAGGCUAAUUGAGAUUGCCCUGUACCAACUUAAUUAACCAUACAACUAGCGAAUUUUGCCUCUCCUUUUGAUUCACUUCUCCAUCCUCUCUCUCCUUCCCCUGGCUUUCUCUUUAGAUGAUCUUGCUUAACUUGUUAAUUCUAUAGUAACUAUUAUUAAUGCCUUGAUUUGUAGUCCUUCACUUGGCUAUGCCUUUCCCUUUCAGCACCUCUUCCUACUGCUUCAUUGCCUCCCUUUUUUCUUUCUUUUCCAUUGGACACCAUUAGGUUUCCUACUUCUUCAAUCCUUCUCAAGUGUCCUCUUACUUGUUUCUUGCUCAGAUCCAGGGUUUCAAAUGUGAUCUCCAUAUGCACAACUUCUGCAUGUGAAACAUCUGAGUGUGCUGUUUUGGGGGACUGUCACACUCGUGCACAAGAUACAGAAUUCACACGUCUGUUUGAGCAAGUAGGUUUCACAUAUGGAGGCUGAGAUUUUCAGAGGGGAAUGUGCUCCCAAUAUCUGUUAAAAUGAAUGGGAAUUGGGAAGCCAAAUCACCUAUGUCAUUUUGAAAAGCUCAGCCAUAAAUGCUGUUUUCACUGGAGGUGCAGGCGAUAGCAUUUAAGAUUUGCAGAAACAAAGCUGUCCAUUUACAGAGGCUAAGGUUAGCCUUUUUUAAAAAAUGUUGCUUCCAUAUGUCAAGUUUCAAGUAGCAAUCUGGGGUUACAGCCUUCUGUAGACAGUCUAAGAUGGCAUUUACUCUGGGUGACCUUUGGCUAUUAGCAAAACCACAUUCCUUUCCAAAUGCCAGUUUCCGCUAGCAAAUGUUCUUUCCUGACCCUAGAUAUUCAUAGAAAAUAUGUCUUUUUUAAGAUUUAAGUGGCUUCCCCCCCCCUUACUAAUGUCCUUGAAAAUCAUCUUUAUAAUGGGUCUUCGACAUGUUAAUGGUUCCUUCCAGAUAAAUGUCUCCUGCUAAUAGCAAGAAAUUAUUUGGACAAAGUAUAUCCAGUCAAAAUUCUUUGAGAAGAGAUUGGGUAUAUUUUGGAAUCGGACAGGCUCAUAGAUUUAACACACCAGUAUAAAUCAGACAUCCAGAUACACAAGGUAAAAUUAAUAUUGAACAGGAUGGAUGCUUUCCAUGAUACAGGCGUGUCAUGCUUCUGGACAACAUGGGCAACUCGUAUCUAGCUUUGACUGUAGUUUUCACCUUUGAUAUUGAAACUCAGACUUUUCUUUAUCUUCUAGCCCAUAUUGCUUCCAUAAUCUCUCUGUCUGCUAUUUCACUAGGGGGCCAAACGCUUUCUUAAAAUUAACCUAGAAAAAACCAGACUUUCUUUAUAUUUUUCUCCUCCUCCUCUCUCUCCCCCCAUCUUUCUCUGGCUUCUGCCUGUCAAUAUCAAAUAGAUGCCUUUAAACUGAUUCCUGUAACUUCUGCCUGCAAUCUUUGGCCUCUCACUAUAUUUACUACCAGUGCAUCUCAUCUUGUCAGUUUCAACUUCUUCUUUUU